AGAGUUUGAUCAUGGCUCAGGACGAACGCUUGCGGCGUGCCUGAGAAAUGCAAGUCGAGCGGGGGAUAGCAAUAUCCCUAGCGGCGAACGGUCGAGUAACACGUGAGCAACCUGCCCCACAGUCGGGGAUAACAGCGGGAAACUGCUGCUAAUACCGGAUAGGCAUAGGGAAGGGCAUCUUUUCCUGUGUAAAGGCUAGACUGCUGUGGGAGGGGCUUGCGGCCUAUUAGCUAGUUGGUGGGGUAACGGCCUACCAAGGCGACGAUGGGUAGCUGGUCUGAGAGGAUGGUCAGCCGGAUCGGGACUGAGACACGGCCCGGACUCCUACGGGGGGCAGCAAUCAGGAAUAUUGCGCAAUGGGGGAAACCCUGACGCAGCGACGCCGCGUGCGGGAUGAAGGCCUUCGGGUCGUAAACCGCUGUUGUGGGAGACGAGGGAUCGGUGACAAGCCGGUCGGGACGGUAUCCCACGAGGAAGCCCCGGCUAACUACGUGCCAGCAGCCGCGGUAAUACGUAGGGGGCGAGCGUUGUCCGAAGUUACUGGGCGUAAAGAGCGCGUAGGCGGCUUCUUAAGUGGCCGGUGAAAUCCCCGGGCUCAACCCGGGAGUGUCUGGUCAUACUGGGAGGCUGGAGUGUGGGAGAGGUGAGUGGAAGUCCAGGUGUAGCGGUGAUAUGCGUAGAUAUCUGGAAGAACACCCGUGGCGAAGGCGGCUCACUGGACCACAACUGACGCUGAGGCGCGAAAGCCAGGGGAGCGAACGGGAUUAGAUACCCCGGUAGUCCUGGCCCUAAACGAUGGAUACUAGGUGUGGGGGGUAUCGACCCCUCCCGCGCCGGCGCUAACGCAAUAAGUAUCCCGCCUGGGGAGUACGGCCGCAAGGUUGAAACUCAAAUGAAUUGACGG
rnacentral:rRNA from 1 species